CCUACGGGGGGCAGCAGUGAGGAAUAUUGGGCAAUGGACGAGAGUCUGAACCAGCCAAGUAGCGUGAAGGAUGACUGCCCUAUGGGUUGUAAACUUCUUUUAUAUGGGAAUAAAAUGUUCCACGUGUGGGAUUUUGUAUGUACCAUAUGAAUAAGGAUCGGCUAACUCCGUGCCAGCAGCCGCGGUAAUACGGAAGAUCCGAGCGUUAUCCGGAUUUAUUGGGUUUAAAGGGAGCGUAGGUGGAUUGUUAAGUCAGUUGUGAAAGUUUGCGGCUCAACCGUAAAAUUGCAGUUGAAACUGGCAGUCUUGAGUACAGUAGAGGUGGGCGGAAUUCGUGGUGUAGCGGUGAAAUGCUUAGAUAUCACGAAGAACUCCGAUUGCGAAGGCAGUUCACUGGACUGCAACUGACACUGAGGCUCGAAAGUGUGGGUAUCAAACAGGAUUAGAUACCCCGGUAGUC
rnacentral:rRNA from 1 species